AUGUGUAUAUGAGUAACUAAUUAAAUAGAUUGCAAACGUAAAAUAAAUAAACCUGAAAUUAAUUAUUAAAUCUCAUAUUAUUAUUUUAAAAAAAGAUUUUAAAAAAAUACUAAAUCUUCAAAUUUACUGUGCUAUCUGUGGUGGACUUUAUUACAGAACUUUAUAUAGAGAGAAAUGAUCUCUUACUAAUGGAUAAAUCUGGAAGUUUGAAUUCACGCUUGAAGUUGUGUUUAAGGAAAAAGAAUCUGACAUGCAGAAGUGUAAGGAUGUCCGAAAGAAACUCCUCAAUUAGAAUUAGGUGUCCCGAAAAAAUGUGUAAUGAGCUAAAGGGGGCAAAUGGAAAAAGGUUGAGAGCUUGUGGAUGGGGCUGUAACAGGGGGGCGUUCUGUUGAAGGUGCACCAGAUGAUGGAGGACCUGACCAAGUUGUUGAUGGAGGAGGCCCCACGGUAGUACUUGGAGCAGAAGUUAUAGGAUUUGUGGC